GACGAACGCUGGCGGCGUGCUUAACACAUGCAAGUCGAACGAAAAGAGGGAAAGAGCUUGCUCUUUCCGGAAUUGAGUGGCAAACGGGUGAGUAACACGUAAACAACCUGCCUUCAGGAUGGGGACAACAGACGGAAACGACUGCUAAUACCGAAUAAGUUCCAAGAGCCGCAUGGCCCAUGGAAGAAAAGGUGGCCUCUACCUGUAAGCUAUCGCCUGAAGAGGGGUUUGCGUCUGAUUAGCUGGUUGGAGGGGUAACGGCCCACCAAGGCGACGAUCAGUAGCCGACCUGAGAGGGUGAACGGCCACAUUGGGACUGAGACACGGCCCAAACUCCUACGGGAGGCAGCAGUGGGGAAUAUUGCACAAUGGGGGGAAACCCUGAUGCAGCGACGCCGCGUGAGUGAUGAAGUAUUUCGGUAUGUAAAACUCUAUCAGCAGGGAAGAUAAUGACGGUACCUGACUAAGAAGCACCGGCUAAAUACGUG
rnacentral:rRNA from 1 species